UGCUUGCUUCAGCAGCAGUAUUCUCAAAUUAGAACAAUACAGAGACCAUCUGCAUGGCCCCUAUGCCAGGAUGACAUGCAAAUUCAUGAAACAUUCUAUAUAUUU
ensembl:snRNA U6 U6 spliceosomal RNA